rnacentral:piRNA from 1 species
UAGCGUGAAUGUUCUCGGUCCUGCUUGC